GGGCCGGGAGGGGCGAGGGAGCCAUUGCUCGGCGCCGACUCUCCCUGCCCGGAACCCCGAGGCCGCGGGGCCCAGGACUCCGCGAUGCUGGAUAUUUUCAUCCUCAUGUUCUUUGCCAUCAUAGGGCUGGUGGUCCUGUCCUACAUUAUCUAUCUGCUCUAGGGGCGCCGGCGGCCGAGGAUGGAGCCGACUGGCCCCGCAGCCCGCCUGCUGACGCAUCGCUCCUGGUUUCCCGUCCAGCAGAGGCCUCGGCACCCCGGCUGUCCCGCGGACCUCUUCCAGAACCUUCGCGAUGUUCGCCUCUGUCAAGUAGGAGACCGUCUGAGCUGGCACCAGGGUGCAGGGACGGGAGGACUGCGUGCUUGCAUUUUGAGCUGAGGACACACAAAGCUGAAAUGUAGACUCACUCCAGUGUCUACAUGUGCUCCCUGCCCUGGGGGGCUCAAUGGGCCAGAGGUUCUGUUUCCUCCUUUCUCCUCACGAGCGAGCGGGGUUUCCCUGUCAGAUCAAGGCUGUCUUCCUCUGCCGAGUCACUGUAUCACUGCAUCACUCUGAAUCUUACAAUCUGGGGUCGUGUGGUUCCCCUAUCUCACUCUCUAGCUGUAGAAACUUCAGUUUGAGUUUUGAAGCUUUGCCCUAUCUUGCCUUCGUGUAUGUUCCAGCUUAUUAUCUUGAAGACGCAAAGUAAUUUCAUUGUCCUCAUUCUUCACCUAACUGAAUUACAAAUCACUGAAAUAAGAUGGCUAUACUUAUUUUGUUACUUGGGGAAUAUCUUUGUUUUACCCCCAAAUGAAUGGGCUUUUUUUUUUUUAAAGAUAUUGUCAAAUGUUUUUUUCUGGGAGAGAGAACCAAACUUUCAGCAUAUUUCUCUGACCAAUUAGGUAGGGAAAAAAACAUAUUUGGAAGUCCAAAGUAGAAUUAGGCCCCAAAUCUUUGGUAUUCUUUUGUAAAGUUCCUCAUAAUUGUUCUACAUUUCAUUUUCACUUCUAACUUAGAAACAAACUAGGAGAAAGAUUAACUUAAUAGCUUUUAAUCCAUAGCAAUGAUAAAUUUCCACAUUAAAUAAUUGGGCUUGGGGCUGGAGAGACAGUGCAGUGGGUAGGCCAUUUGUCGUGUACGCAGCCAACCUGGGUUCAAUCUCCAACAUUCCGGAGCACUGCCAGGAAUAAAUCCUAAGUGCAGAGGCAGGCGUUACCCCUGAGCAUCACCAGGUAUGGCCCAAUCCCCUCCCCAUCCCCAAUAAAACUGGGCUGGAGAGAUAGUGCAGGGGGUUAAGACUUCCCUUGCAUGCAAUCUUUAAUCCCCAUCCCUGCAUACGGUUCCCCAGCAGGGCCAGAAGUAAUCCCUGACCACAGAGCAGCCCCUGAACACUGCCAUGUAUAGCUCCAAGUCUCCCCUGCCCCUCCCCAAUUAAAAAGACAUAAAGUUGCAGUAGCAUAAUAUAGGCCAUACAUAAAAUGUAAAACUUGGAUUUAGAAACUCUUGCCAACUAAAAGGGAAAAGGGGUGGGAGAGAGAGAAAAACAAAAGUGUCUGUUAUAGAGACAGGCUUGUGGGGGGGUGUGAAAGGGAAACUGGGGUCAUUGGUGACUGGGAACAUACUGGUAAAGGGAUGGGUGUUGGAACAUUGUAUGAGUGAAACUCAAUCAUGAACAACUUUGUAACUGUAUUUCAAGGUAGUUCAGUGAAAAUUAAAAAUAAUAAAAACUCUCACCAAGAAACAAAACUACAGCUCUCAUUGGGUGUGUAGUUCAGGGGUGAGCACAUGCCUCAUUUUCAUGGGUUUAAUCUCCAGCACUGCAAGAAUAACACUGCUCGGGGCUGGAGCUAUAGCACAGUGGGUAGGUGUUUGCUUGCAUGCAGCCGACCCGGGUUGGAUUCCCAGCAUCCCAUGUGGUCCUCUGAGCACCGCCAGGAGUAAUUCUUGAGUGCAGAGCCAGGAGUAACCCCUGUGCAUCAUCGGGUGUGACCCAAAAAAGAAAAGAAAGAAAAAACACAAAGAAUAACACUGCUCUAGAACUUUGUCUUGACAGUGAAUUAUGCGACCUUCAAUAAGCAUUUGACUUUCAGAACUUUUGUUUAUUCUGACAAAUGAAAGAGUUGAACUAGAGAAUUGCUAAUGUUCCUUUCUAUUGAAAAUCUCUAAUUCUAGGGGCUGGUAAGUUGGUACAGUAGUAAGGAGCUCACCUCACCACGGUCCAUUCAGGUUCCAACCAAGAUUCCACAUAAGGUCUCUGAUCCCCGCCUGGAGUGAUCCCUGAGCACAGAACCAGGAGUAAGACCUGAGUUCUGCUGGGUGUGGGCUAUAACAAACAAAAAUUCUAGAGGCAAGAGAGAUUUCUCAAAGGGCUGAGUGCAUGCUGUACAUGAAGGAGGCCCAAGUGUAGCCCCUGAGCAUUGUCAGGUAUAGCCCCCAAACCAAAAAAUAAAUAAAAAAUAAUUCUGUGGGCCAGCAAGAGAUAAGUACAGGGGUUUAGGAGUACCACCAGAAGUGAUUCCCAAGUAAGUAAAUAAAUCUCACAAUUGUUUGUCUUUUCUGCUCUUCCCAUCAUCAUCAUCACAUUGAUCAUCGAAUUUCUCGAGUGGUCUCAGUAAUGUCUCCAUUUGUCCUAACCCUGAGAUUUUAGAAGCUUCUAUUUACUCGUCCUUUCCAAUGGUGCCGCAUUGCUCUUCCCAAUCUGACAAGAUUCAACCACAAAACUUGUUUGGUGUCAAUAACUACAUUGGGAGGAGAAAAUGUUCAUGUAAAAACACAUUGAUCGCAUAGUUUACUUAUGCUGUUUAGGAACUUGGGCUCUAGCAUUGAACCAUCCAGCCCAGACGGCUGAUUUCUGCUGGGAAUGGUUCCCAGGUCCCCGUACAUAUAGUAAAAAGAUUAUAUAACAGUAUAAUAGUGCAUGGUGGCAUAUAACAAAAGAGAAGUAAUUUGGAAGAUUAAUGGAAGAAGCAUGGUUCUGGACAUUUAGGAGUGAUCCCUAGUUUCUAUAGAGGCCUCGAUGCAACAUUUACCAUUGAAAUGUUCUUCUGACUUUCUGACUUAGUUCUAUGUUUCCAGUUAAAAAUUCCUAUAUCAAGUUUUUCUUGGGCUGGAGAUAGUAUAGCGGGGAGGGUGUUUGUCUUGUUCGCACUUGACCCAGAUUCAACCCCAUGCAUCCUAUAUGGUUCCCUGAGCACUGCCAGAGUAAUUCCUAAGUAUCAGAGCCAGGAGUAACCCCUGAGCAUCACCAGGUAUGCCCCCAACUACGAAAAAAAAAAAGAUAAGCGCAAGACAGAUACUGCUUCCUCAGCAUCCUGUAUGGUCCCCGAGCACUGCCAGGAGUGAUCCCUGAGUACAAAGCCAGGAGUAACCCCUGAGCAUUGCCAAGUGGUGACCCCCUGCAAAAAAAAAAAAAAAAGAAAGAAAGACAGAUACUACUGUGGAUAAGUCACUUCCUUUGCAUGAGGUGGACCCAGGUUCAAGCCCAAGAAUACUCUAUGGUCCCCCUGAGUCCCACCAGGAGUGAUCCCUGAAUGAGCAUUUCUCAGGACUGAGAAAUAAGCCCUGAGCACCAUUGGGUGUGGCCCCAAACCCAAAAUAAUAAAAAAUUUUAAAAGAUAAGUUAAACCAUCUAAUACAAACUCUUCUCAAGGGAUAUAAAGCAUCCAAAUUUUCUGAGUUUGAAACAUCACAUGAAAUGAUUUGUGAGAUUUCAGGACAUCUGUUUGCCUUUAUUUCGUUUUUGGGGCCACACCCGGUAAUGCUCAGGGGUUACUACUCCUGGCUCUGCAUUCAGGAGGUUGAACCUGGGUUGGCUAUUUGCAGGGCAAACACCCUAUCUGCUGUACUCCAGUCUCACAUCUGCUUGCUUUUAAAGGGUAUUGGCAUAUUCUAACCAUUUGAAAGUCCUAACAGUAUUUUAAACUAUCACUAUCACUAUCAUCCCGUUAAUCCUCGAUUUGCUCGAGCGAGCCCAGUAAUGUCUCCAUUCGUUCAUCCUAGCCCUGAGAUUUUAGCAGCCUCUCUUUACUCAUCCUUCCUAACAGUGCCGCGUUAGAGGUUUUUUCAGGGUCAGGAGAACGAGACCCAUCAUUGUUACUGUAUUUGACAUAUGAAUAUGCUACAGGGAGCUUGCCAGGCUCUCCUGUGUGGGCAGGAAAACUCUCGGUAGCUUGCCAGAUUCUCCGAGAGAGAACUAGUCUGUAAGAUGUAUAUAUAUGUAAUUGAGAGCUUGGUUUUAUAGUCUCUGGAUGUUGGCCGUUGAUGGGGCAGUUUCUGGGUGUGACUGCCUAGCUACUGGAAAAUGGGGGAUCUGGGUAGAAGAGGCCCAGUCCUGAUCCGAGCAGACUUGGAGAUCUCAUCCCCGGGUCCUAUAUACCUGAGUUCCUCUGCCGGUUCCUUCAUGCAUAAGGCUUGUCUAAAUGUGUGGUGAGGGGCCUUGAGCAUGGCUGUGGCUGGGUUCCGGAGGUCUUUGGUUGCCAGGGUGGGGAGGGAAACUCAACCCAUCCCUCCGAGGGGCCCCAGUGAAGACAGCCAGGUCAAAAGCAACGGGAAUCUCUCUUUUUUUUUUUUCUUUUUGGGUCACACCCAGCGAUGCUCAGGGGUUACUCCUGGUUCUGCACUCAGAAAUUACUCCUGGCAGUGCUCGGGGGACCAUAUGGGAUGCCGGGGAUCGAACCCGGGUCGGCCGCGUGCAAGGCAAACGCCCUACCCGAUGUGCUAUCGCUCCGGCCCCAACGGGAAUCUCUUUUAAUAAAACAUUUGACACUGUAGCACUGUAGCACUGUCGUCCCGUCCCGUUUGUUCAUCAAUUUGCUCGAGCAGUCACCAGUAAUGUCCCCAUUGUGAGACUUGUUGUUACUGAGUUUGGAAUUUCAUUUUAUUUUUAUUUUUAUUUAUUUAUAUUUAUUUAUUUUUUUUUGCUUUUUGGGUCACACCUGGCGAUGCAUAGGGGUUACUCCUGGCUCUGCACUCAGGAACUACUCCUGGCGGUGCUCAGGGGACCAUAUGGGAUGCUGGGAAUCGAACCCGGGUCGGCCACAUGCAAGGCAAACGCCCUACCCGCUGUGCUAUUGCUCCAGCCCCAAGAGUUUGGAAUUUCAAAUACACCACAGGAGCAGCUUCCAUUAAUCCAGUGAUGCUAAGCACAUCAGUGUGAGUGUAACCACCAGGCUCAGGACCACUAGGAUCAUGCAGGUGGUAUUGGUGGGUAUGUGUGGGUAUGGUGUCAGGGAUUGAACUCAACACCUCAAACACUGUUAGGCAUGUAUUGUAUUACUUGAGUCAUAUCUCUAGCUUCACCCCCAUCAUAAAAAUUUUUGUUUUGUUUUGUUUUUGGGUCACACCCAACAAUACUCAUGGGUUACUCCUGGCUCUGCACUCAAUAAUUACUCUUUGCAGUGCUUGGAGGACACUAUGGGAUGCACCGGGUCAGAUGCAUGCAAGGCAAGCUCCUUACUUGUUGUACUAUCUCUCCAAUCUAACUCCAUUAAAAUUUUAAAAAUUUUGGGGAGACAACAUCUGACAUUUCUCAGGGGCCACUCUGGCUCAUGCGGUGUCACAGACUGAACAUGGUAUUCUGCAUGCAGAACAGGUGUUCAGUCUUUUGAGCUAUCUUUCCAGCCCUUCCCAUGUUAUUUUUUGUUUUAUUUAUGCAUUUAAUUGUGUUUGGGGGCCAUACAAGCUGAUGUUCAGGGGAUAUUCCUGGAUUUGUGCAAAGGAGUGACUGUUGGAGGUGCUCUGGUACUAUCUGCGCUUACCUAGGACUGAACCAGCAUUAGGUAACAACUGGCAUUGCUCAGAAAUUACUCAUGGAGGUGCUCAAGGGACCAUAUGGGAUGCUGGGGAUCAAAUCCUGCUGUGAGCAAGGCAAAUGCUCUUGUCCCAAGGCAAGCACCUUAACCCUUGUCCUAACUCUCAGCAACCCCCCACCCCGGCCCCGCACACUCCUCCAUCAAUUUUAAACAAAAAUAAAACCAGUGCUGAAGAAACAGUUCAAAGGGUGGAAGCAGAUGAUUUUUAUGUUGGAGCCCAAGAUUUGAUGCUCAGCACCACAUAGUUCCUGAUUAACCUCUAAGCAGAGUAGCCUCUGAGCACUGCUGGGCGUGACCAAAAAGACAAAGCAAAGUCACAGAUUAGGAGGAAAUGGGGGACAUGAGAGGUAGCUCAGCAGUUAGAGCACAUGUUUCACAUGCAGGAGGGCAGGGUUUCAACUUCCAGAACCACAAAACAAAACACAAGGGGCUGGAGAGAUAAUUUAGGGGCUAAAACACCAAAACCAAUAUAAAAGUUUCCUUCAUAAGAAAUAAAACAAAGGAAUCACACAUCCAGUGACUUGCAUGAGAAACUGAACAAAGUAGAAAUAUUCUUCUUUUAUUAAAUAUAUAACAUAAAACUUAGCAAAUAUUAAAUAUUUAGGCAUCAAAGACAUUUUUCCAUAAAUAAAACACUUAAAAUAACAAUGCAUAUUAUUUUAGGUUUGUGCAUCUUUAAGAAACCAGUGGUCUUAGAAUAUAAAUAUAUACGUAUACAUUUAUACAUUUAUACAUUUUUAAAUUUUAAAAGCCUUUCAAGGGUUAAUUUUUAACUCUCUACUAGAGAAACUUUCUGGAAUUAUAUAUUUGCUUUCUUGAUAGGAAAAUAAAGGUGUUCUUAGUCCACUGGCACCUUUUUUAACCUGCAGACGACUAUCCUGUAGAAGUCUCUUAGGUCAUUUCCCCCAUCUUAAACGUGUCUCAGUAAACCAAGGGGUAUAUCCUCUAGCCUGAUUUCUUAGAGGCUUCACAGUCUCCUGAUUGUGAAACUGGUAAAGUCACACUACUAAUUAGGUGUUCAAUAACAAAGAGGUUUCUUCAGCAGCUUUGUGUAUUUACUCUUCAAAAUAUUUGGCAUAAAAAUCUAUAAUCAUACAGCUGAAUACUGUUUUAAAGAGCUUAACUCUUAAGUAAUAAUCGCAGGGAGAGGUUAGUUUUUUUUUAAUUGACAUAUGAUGGUUCUUUGUGUUGUGCCCUGUUAUGGAUACCGCUUGCUUGCUCUAAUUUCCAAAGAAGAUAAUUAUCCUUGUAAUAAAAUCUUUAUUACAGAAGAACUGGAAGCAUGAACUAAGUCAUCAGAGGACCAAACAGUGUGAAAAAGGGGCCUCCUGUUCAUGCCAGGGAAGGCAGCAAGUUGAAGCAAUGUCUUGAACUUCCUGAAUGCUUGAACUGCUUCACAAGUAGAGUCAUUUACUGUCUGCACCAGGAACAAGAUAAAGUUGAGGGGUCGGAAGGGCAUGAGAAGGAAUUGUCAAAAGAAGUGUUGAAAUGAGAUGUUUUUGUUUCAUAUAAGGCAGAAUUUUUCUGCAAGAUACAAAUGUUUUAGUUUCUAAGAAAAAUAAUGUCAUUAAUUUACUAGUAAUAUUGUAUUAAGUUUAUAUGUAAUAUGUAUUCUUAGAAACAAGAAUAAAAAAGAAAUAUAAUGAU